rnacentral:rRNA from 1 species
GAUGAACGCUGGCGGCGUGCCUAAUACAUGCAAGUCGAGCGAACAGACGAGGAGCUUGCUCCUCUGACGUUAGCGGCGGACGGGUGAGUAACACGUGGAUAACCUACCUAUAAGACUGGGAUAACUUCGGGAAACCGUAGCUAAUACCGGAUAAUAUAUUGAACCGCAUGGUUCAAUAGUGAAAGACGGUUUUGCUGUCACUUAUAGAUGGAUCCGCGCCGCAUUAGCUAGUUGGUAAGGUAACGGCUUACCAAGGCAACGAUGCGUAGCCGACCUGAGAGGGUGAUCGGCCACACUGGAACUGAGACACGGUCCAGACUCCUACGGGAGGCAGCAGUAGGGAAUCUUCCGCAAUGGGCGAAAGCUUGACGGAGCAACGCCGCGUGAGUGAUGAAGGUCUUCGGAUCGUAAAACUCUGUUAUUAGGGAAGAACAAAUGUGUAAGUAACUGUGCACGUCUUGACGGUACCUAAUCAGAAAGCCACGGCUAACUACGUG